UACGUAGGGACCAAGCGUUGUUCGGAUUUACUGGGCGUAAAGGGCGCGUAGGCGGCCUAGCAAGUCACCUGUGAAAUCUCCGGGCUUAACUCGGAACUGCCAAGUGAAACUGCUGGGCUAGAGUGCAGAAGGGGCAAUCGGAAUUCUUGGUGUAGCGGUGAAAUGCGUAGAUAUCAGGAGGAACACCGGUGGCGAAGGCGGGUCUCUGGGCCGAUACUGACGCUGAGGAGCGAAAGCGUGGGGAGCGAACAGG
rnacentral:rRNA from 1 species